rnacentral:rRNA from 1 species
GGCUUAGAGUUUGAUCAUGGCUCAGGACGAACGCUGGCGGCGUGCCUAAUACAUGCAAGUCGAACGAGAAUUUUUUACACCGAGUGCUUGCACUCACCGUAAGAAAUUCGAGUGGCGGACGGGUGAGUAACACGUGGGUAACCUGCCCAGAAGAAGGGGAUAACAUUUGGAAACGAAUGCUAAUACCGUAUAACCAUGAUGACCGCAUGGUCAUUAUGUAAAAGGUGGUUUUGCUAUCGCUUUUGGAUGGACCCGCGGCGUAUUAACUAGUUGGUAGGGUAACGGCCUACCAAGGUGAUGAUACGUAGCCGAGUUGAGAGACUGAUCGGCCACAAUGGGACUGAGACACGGCCCAUACUCCUACGGGAGGCAGCAGUAGGGAAUCUUCCACAAUGGGCGCAAGCCUGAUGGAGCAACGCCGCGUGAAUGAAGAAGGUCUUCGGAUCGUAAAAUUCUGUUGUUAGAGAAGAAUAUGAGUAAUAGUAACUGAUUAUUCACUGACGGUAUCUAACCAGCAAGUCACGGCUAACUACGUGCCAGCAGCCGCGGUAAUACGUAGGUGGCAAGCGUUGUCCGGAUUUAUUGGGCGUAAAGGGAACGCAGGCGGUUUUUUAAGUCUGAUGUGAAAGCCUUCGGCUUAACCGGAGAUGUGCAUUGGAAACUGGAAGACUUGAGUGCAGAAGAGGAGAGUGGAACUCCAUGUGUAGCGGUGAAAUGCGUAGAUAUAUGGAAGAACACCAGUGGCGAAAGCGGCUCUCUGGUCUGUAACUGACGCUGAGGUUCGAAAGCAUGGGUAGCGAACAGGAUUAGAUACCCUGGUAGUCCAUGCCGUAACGAUGAUGCUAGUGUUGGAGGGNUUCCGNCUNAG